CGUUCUUCAGGGCGUUUCGUUUCGUAACAGCACCGGCUCCAGCAAUGCAGAUCACCGCCCUGGUGCGCGUGUUGGCGCUGCUGUUGGCUGGUGCCAUGGUCUGUCUUUGCGGCGGUUACGGUGGUGGCAAAAAGCACCACCACAUCAUCAUACAAGUGCCGUACCACGUGAAGAAGAUCCACCACACGCACACUAUUUACAAGAUCAUCGACCACGGAGGGCACGGCAACCACCACCACGUCUUCCACUGAGUUUAGCGACCACCACCAUAAUCGCUGCAGCUACUGAACCCAGAUAGUGGUAGCUGUCUGUAAAAAUAUCUUCUAAUAGUAGUAUAUGGCGGCCUCCUCCUUCGAGUGCAAUCGGCUGUGCUCAUUGUGUUGGAAGACCUAAUCAA